UACGAAGGGGGCUAGCGUUGUUCGGAAUUACUGGGCGUAAAGCGCGCGCAGGCGGUCUUCCAAGUCAGUGGUGAAAGCCUGGAGCUCAACUCCAGAACUGCCAUUGAAACUGUUAGACUUGAGUACGAGAGAGGUGAGUGGAAUUCCCAGUGUAGAGGUGAAAUUCGUAGAUAUUCGGAGGAACACCAGUGGCGAAGGCGGCUCACUGGCUCGGUACUGACGCUGAGGUGCGAAAGCGUGGGGAGCAAACAGG
rnacentral:rRNA from 1 species